GUCAGCGCCAGCGGAUCCUUUGUCGGGCGUCGACUAACAAUUAGCAUUCCACACUUGGUAGAGCUCGCCGACGGACGCCGUCCACUGUUACCAACCUUGAGUGGUCGUUCUCCUGCAAGUACUGAAGAAGUGGCUUCGAGGAGUUGGCUGAAUCAAUUGGUUUUCCAAGGCAUCUUUGUCAAGAUAUGUGCGGCAAAAAUUAUAAGGGUAUUAUAUCAACUAUGCAACAAAUAGGUCCGCCUAUGUGUGGGGGUAUCAUUUUCUCUAACUGAAUAUAGAAGUGCGUAAACUUAGUUUUUUUCAACGAACUCCGAAGAUCAUAUUUUUACAGCACACAUCACAUAUUUCAUUGAUUUUCCUCUGUUCUUCGUGUUCUGGCAGAUAAUUUAUUUUUUGGGACUUUGCAGAACAAUUUGAGCUUGAUAUUACGUCAUCAGUGAAGCCCAACAGUAUUAGGUCCAGGUCUUCUGAAGAUACUAUAACAUUAG